GGAUGAAGAACGCAGCGAAAUGCGAUACUUGGUGUGAAUUGCAGAAUCCCGUGAACCAUCGAGUCUUUGAACGGAAGUUGCGCCUCAAGCCAUUAGGUUGAGGGCACGUCUGCCUGGGCGUCACAUAUCGUUGCCUGAUGCCAGUUUCCUCGUGAUGGGUGACUGUGCAGGGCGAAUGAUGGCUUCCCGUGAGCAUUGUUGCCUCAUGGUUGGUUGAAAAUUGAGUCCUUGGUAGGGAGCGCCGUGAUAGAUGGUGGUUGAGUGACGAACGAGACCCAAUCAUGUGAGACCCCUAACGAAUUUGGCCUUCAUGACCCACAUGCGUCUUUGGAACGCUCAUGACGAGACCUCAGGUCAGGCGGGGCUACCCGCUGAGUUUAAGCAUAUCAAUAAGCGGAGGA
rnacentral:misc_RNA from 1 species